rnacentral:misc_RNA from 1 species
GAUGAAGAACGCAGCGAAAUGCGAUAAGUAAUGUGAAUUGCAGAAUUCAGUGAAUCAUCGAAUCUUUGAACGCACAUUGCGCCCGCCAGUAUUCUGGCGGGCAUGCCUGUUCGAGCGUCAUUUCAACCAUCAAGCCCCCGGCUUGUGUUGGGGACCUGCGGCUGCCGCAGGCCCUGAAAACCAGUGGCGGGCUCGCUGUCACACCGAGCGUAGUAGAUUUUCAUCUCGCUCAGGGCGUGCUGCGGGUUACGGCCGUAAAAAGCCUUAUUUACCCAAGGUUGACCUCGGAUCAGGUAGGAAGACCCGCUGAACUUAAGCAUAUCAAUAAGCGGAGGA